UACGGAGGGGGCUAGCGUUGUUCGGAAUUACUGGGCGUAAAGCGCACGUAGGCGGCUUUGUAAGUUAGAGGUGAAAGCCCGGGGCUCAACUCCGGAAUUGCCUUUAAGACUGCAUCGCUAGAAUUGUGGAGAGGUGAGUGGAAUUCCGAGUGUAGAGGUGAAAUUCGUAGAUAUUCGGAAGAACACCAGUGGCGAAGGCGACUCACUGGACACAUAUUGACGCUGAGGUGCGAAAGCGUGGGGAGCAAACGGG
rnacentral:rRNA from 1 species